rnacentral:sRNA from 1 species
GUGCUGCUGCCCGGUGCGUGUGGAUAACAAUAUCCCCGGGGCCUUAACGAUCUCAUGGGAGCUGUCCCUGACUGAGCUCUCGGGCUCAGAUAUACGGCGCCCACCUACGUAAAGUAGGUUCCCGGGAUCGCAUAUCCCACGGCCGGGGUGGCACCUA